CGAAGGGGGCGAGCAUUGUUCGGAAUUACUGGGCGUAAAGGGUGCGUAGGCGGAUUGGAUAGUCAGAUGUGAAGGCCCAAGGCUCAACCUUGGAACUGCAUUUGAAACUGCCAGUCUGGAGUAUUGGAGAGGAGCGUGGAAUUCUCAGUGUAGAGGUGAAAUUCGUAGAUAUUGAGAGGAACACCAGUGGCGUAGGCGACGCUCUGGCCAAAUACUGACGCUGAGGCACGAAAGUGUGGGGAGCAAACAGGAUUAGAUACCCUGGUAGUCCACACCGUAAACGAUGUGUGCUAGUUGUUGGGUUUAAACUCAGUGACGCAGCUAACGCUUGAAGCACACCGCCUGGGGAGUACGGUCGCAAGAUUA
rnacentral:rRNA from 1 species